rfam:Pichia sorbitophila strain CBS 7064 chromosome D complete sequence.
UAGGGGAUGACUUUCAAAAAUAAUAACUUUCGUUCUACCGAUUUACAUCAAACGAUGGUGAGGACAACUUUUCUUUACUGAUC